UGAAGAAAAACCGCCUUUCAGCUGAGGCUUUUCGGCAAAGGUUUAGAAGCAUAGGCAAGAAGGAUUGUGAGGGAUAUCCGGAGUUUGCUUACGGCUUAAAGGCAAACCUAGUCGAGUGGUUGAAAAGCGCGGAGGCGUACGAGAGCAGAGAGAUGAUCAUGGAAUGCAUGUGUCUGGAGCAGUUUUAUAAGAGCAUCCCGCAACCUGUGAAGCUGUGGGUGCAAGACAGAGGAAACGUAAACACUGUGGAAAGGGCGGCCGAGUUAGCCGAAGAGUAGGCUACACGUAGAAAGCUGAGCGCCGAGGACGGAAGCUGGUAUGGUUGGAAUAGACCACGGAAACAAUUUCCGUUCAAAAAGGCAUUGCAGACGAAGCGACCGGAGCAUGUAGAUGCAGAGAAAAAGACGUCAGAAAAGAGCGAGGAAAAAUUAAAUGGCAAAACUGCACAAAAGAAGCAGAAAAAAGAAUUCGAAUCUUAUAAACAGAUCCGUUGCUAUAAGUGCCACAAACUCGGACAUAUCGGCGUGAACUGUGCGAAGUCUAA
rnacentral:lncRNA from 1 species